rnacentral:rRNA from 1 species
GUCUAUGGCCAUACAAACAUGCCUAACCUUGUCUGAUCUUGGAAGCGAAGCAGAGUUGGGCCUGCUUAGCACUUGGUUGGAAGACUAACUAGGACUAACAGGUGCUGUAGUUU